AGCGAACGCUGGCGGCAGGCCUAACACAUGCAAGUCGAACGAACCUUUCGGGGUUAGUGGCGGACGGGUGAGUAACACGUGGGAACGUGCCUUUAGGUUCGGAAUAACUCAGGGAAACUUGUGCUAAUACCGAAUGUGCCCUUCGGGGGAAAGAUUUAUCGCCUUUAGAGCGGCCCGCGUCUGAUUAGCUAGUUGGUUGAGGUAAUGGCUCACCAAGGCGACGAUCAGUAGCUGGUCUGAGAGGAUGAUCAGCCACAUUGGGACUGAGACACGGCCCAAAAUCCUACGGGAGGCAGCAGUGGGGAAUCUUGCGAAAGGGGCGAAAGCCUGACGCAGCCAUGCCGGGUGAAUGAUGAAGGUCGUAGGAUUGUAAAAUUCUUUCACCGGGGACGAUAAUGACGGUACCCGGAGAAGAAGCCCCGGCUAACUUCGUG
rnacentral:rRNA from 1 species